rnacentral:rRNA from 1 species
ACUCCUACGGGAGGCAGCAGUGGGGAAUAUUGCACAAUGGGGGAAACCCUGAUGCAGCCAUGCCGCGUGUGUGAAGAAGGCCUUCGGGUUGUAAAGCACUUUCAGUAGGGAGGAAGGUAGUGUAGUUAACACCUGCAUUAUUUGACGUUACCUACAGAAGAAGCACCGGCUAACUCCGUGCCAGCAGCCGCGGUAAUACGGAGGGUGCGAGCGUUAAUCGGAAUUACUGGGCGUAAAGCGCAUGCAGGCGGCCUGUUAAGUCAGAUGUGAAAGCCCGGGGCUUAACCUCGGAAUUGCAUUUGAAACUGGCAGGCUAGAGUCUUGUAGAGGGGGGUAGGAAUUUCAGGUGUAGCGGUGAAAUGCGUAGAGAUCUGAAGGAAUACCAGUGG